UACUGAUUCGGUUUAUCCCCUGAGCAGAUCAAACCCUUUAAGAUUAAGGUCUUUAGUAUUGCUAAUUAUCAGCAAUCCGUCAUCAGGACAAGCUGCCCUCACUCUUGCCCAGUGGCAUGUACGAGCCCCUACAGUUUCCUUCCACGUUCAGAGGCUCAUUUUUGCUCUGUGUGUUUCAGUGUCCACACUUCUGGUGGAAAAUGACUGGAGGUAACAGCUGACUAUUCUGAGUUUACGAAAAAGAGGUAGCUUGAUCUUUUUGCUACACGAACUAUUUUUCUGAAUUUUGCAGCUCCCUCACAUCAAAAGGUGUUCCCCAUGAUGGAGCUUCAAAGGGAAAGGUCUCAAACUUUUUUGUAUCCAACUUUACUCCUAUUGAAAUGCCUUUCAAUCUCUAAUCUUACAUAUCCUCCACAUGCUGCGGCUUAAGGAGAUGCAACAGCUUCCCAGAGCCUGUGGUGAAGAAAUGAGGGAUAAAGUAGAAAGAAUUCAUCAUGGGAUAUAGGGGGAGAAAAGAGGUAAUUAGAAAGGGACUCACAGCUGCCAUCCAUCACCUUGCUCUGGGGGCUUGGUUGUAGGAUGGGGCCCCGGCUAGUGAGGCCCCUGCCCCGAAGGCUUUGUUGCUGUGCUGAGUUCCUGGCCCCCAGGCACUCAGGGAGCACCUGGCCCUUGUUGUGCACUGAUGUAUUUAAUCUGGAAAUAAGGUGUUUUUCACUCUUUCUCCCCCAUGUCCUCUACUUUUUAUGAAGUCAAAUAUCCUGCUGUUUCCAUUCCUGGUCUGACACUUGGCUACCUGUGCUUCUCAGACAAUGUUUUUGCCUUAGGACAAAACCUUGCUAGUCCAGCUCUGCAGAGAGAUUCAGGGCAUUUCAAUUGCACAGACCUGAGAUGGCUCCAGAUAUUAUGGUACCAAAGCAGCAACAGCUUCCCCCUUGCAGGGGGCAAAGGGAAACCACUGAAGACACUCUGUGAAACUACAUUAUCUGAAAAAAAAAAAAAAUCUGACUUAUGAAGCUCCUUUUUUGAGAGGAAUGUUUAUAGAAUUGCUUCCAAGUUCCUGUAAAUGCCCCCACGUUUCACACUCAUCGUAUCAUGUGAAGCUGUUCUCGACCCCAAAGAAGACCCAGGGUGAAUCAUUAAACCAAAAUGAAAGAAGAAGAAUAUGGAGAAUAGAAAGUUUGUGAAUUGUGAAGACAGAACAUAGUAUAGAAUGGAACAAAAGGGGAAGUUUGUAAAGCGAUAGAUGUUGGAGGGAAAGUAGCAACUCAGGAAGAGAUUAUCUCGCUGCCAUCCCUGCUUUUUCAGUGGAGUUACACUAAGUUUAUUAGAAUGAUGUCUGGCAACAUAUGCAUUUCAAUUUUCAUGAUGCCAUUGAGGUCAAACCCCUAUUAACUCUUCCGAAAGAAGAAGUGGAUUCGUGCAUUAUAAUCAGACAAAACAGGACAGCACUUUGUCAGAAGGAGAAUGAUUACCAGGAAAGCUGUGUCUGCAGGCACAGCCAGAGUCUUUCCAAGUCCGGUUGGAUUUGCUUAUCCUGCCCUCCUGUUCUGGGCUACCUCCUCCAGAGACAUCCUGGGCUAGAUCUGAAAAUCAUUGCUUGGGACAACUCUCUUUCUUAGAGCCUUCCUGAGAGUUUCUGCUGCUCCGUCUGUUUCUCAAGUGUGGUAUAGCAGAACAUGGUCCUCAGGUUCUCUGCAGUCUUAAUGAGAUCAUUCAGUAUUGCAAGAAACGUGCAUGCAUGAUACUCUUUAUGCCUGCUUCCACUUCUGCCUCCUCUAAUAGACUGUCAUAAUUCUUUGACUCUUGUUCAGAUUUUUCAAUGUUUGC